CCCUUAGAUGUUCUGGGCUGCACGCGCGCUACACUGAUGCGCUCAACGAGUUUAUGACCUUGCCUGGAAAGGUUGGGUAAUCUUCUUAAAACGCAUCGUGAUGGGGAUAGAUUAUUGCAAUUAUUAAUCUUCAACGAGGAAUUCCUAGUAAACGCAAGUCAUCAGCUUGCAUUGAUUACGUCCCUGCCCUUUGUACACACCGCCCGUCGCACCUACCGAUUGAAUGGUCCGGUGAAAUCUCGGGACGGCGGCUUGGUCGCUUGCGUCCGACUGCUGAAACUUGAUUAAACCAUAUCAUUUAGAGGAAGGUGAAGUCGUAACA
rnacentral:rRNA from 1 species